rnacentral:lncRNA from 9 species
GCCCUGAUCCCAUAGGCCUGGUGUCUUUAUAAGAAAAUGAAAGGCAGUGUGCUCUCUCUGUGCACACACAGAGCCAGGGCCAUGUGAGGACACAGUGAGGAGGCAGCUACCUGCAAGGCAGGAAGGGAGUCCUCACCAGAAACCAAAUUUUCUAGCACCUCAGUCUUGGUCUUCUAGCCCCCAGAACUGUGAGAAAGUAAAUGUCUGUUGGUUAAGCCCCUUGCCUGUGUGUUUUGCUGUAGCAGCAUACGCGGACUAAAACGAGCCCUGCUGCCUCCAGCUUUUGAGAGGGAGGAGGAUGAAGUUUGGAAAGAUGCCCUCCAGUGGAAGCAUUUCCUUGGGCCAGUGCUGAAAAGGACCCCUGAGCAGACCCUUAGACUGCUGUUCCCUCUUCUGAGAAUGCACUUCCACCCCAUUUCUGCCUGCUGAAACUUUCCAGCAUACAGUCAACAAAGAUUUCUGUUGAGAGCCAGGAACUGGGGAUGGAGCAUUGAAUCAACACAGACCUUCCCUUCAGAGUCUAGGGAAGGAAGAAAAAAUUAAAAUAGUAAAACAAAAUAAAGUAAAAUAAAAUAGAAAACUCUCGUCCAACAAAUUGCUAUAUAAUUACAAUUGUGGGAAGUGUGAUGAGGAAGAGGGAUCAGAAACGCACAGGGCAGGGGAAGUGGACUACGUCUGGAGUCUCCCAGGAGGCUCUGGGGGAGAAUGAUUAUUAAGCUGAACUAGAAAGCUGAACGGGUGAGAGGUGGAAAGGCAUGCUGGGCAGAAGGAACAGUAUGUGGUAGACUCUGAGCAAGGAACUUGGUGUGGAGGAGACAAGGAAAGGCUGGUGUGGCUGGAGUUGAGGGAGGGCAGGGGGGCAGUGGGAAGACCGGCCAGGGACUGGAAAUGGAUCCAAAGAGGUCUGGGAAGACUGGAAGCAUUUAAGUCCACCCAACCACUGGCCUGGGAAUUCUGAGACAGCCCCAGGUUUGCUCUUAGCAAAUCUAGAUAUGGCCCCAAAUGCCCCUGCCUGGGACAAUCUGUUGG